rnacentral:rRNA from 1 species
CCUACGGGGGGCAGCAGUGGGGAAUAUUGCACAAUGGGGGAAACCCUGAUGCAGCGACGCCGCGUGAGUGAAGAAGUAAUUCGUUAUGUAAAGCUCUAUCAGCAGGGAAGAAAAUGACGGUACCUGAGUAAGAAGCCCCGGCUAACUACGUGCCAGCAGCCGCGGUAAUACGUAGGGGGCAAGCGUUAUCCGGAUUUACUGGGUGUAAAGGGAGCGUAGACGGCAGUGCAAGUCUGGAGUGAAAGGCGCGGGCUCAACCCCCGGACUGCUCUGGAAACUGUACGGCUGGAGUGCAGGAGAGGUAAGUGGAAUUCCUAGUGUAGCGGUGAAAUGCGUAGAUAUUAGGAGGAACACCAGUGGCGAAGGCGGGUUACUGGACUGUAACUGACGUUGAGGCUCGAAAGCGUGGGGAGCAAACAGGAUUAGAUACCCGUGUAGUC